CCAAUUCUAAUUAACUCAAGACUCGAAGAUAAUUUAAAAUGAAAUAGGAUAUCUACAUCUAUCAUAGAUUCACAUAUAGUAAUAUAAAGAGAGACAAAAUGAAAACAUAAGCAUAUAAACUAUUACUUAUUAUAACAGUUUACAGAUGAAACUAUACAGCCAACUUAGGAAGCUGAAGUGGCUGCUCAACAGCUGGGUUGAGAAGGUGUUUCCGAGGGCCACGAAAGCUUCCAUGAUUCACCCGCUGUUUCCUCUGAUGUGAAUUUCCAGCAUUAUUGUCUCCAACAACUGCACCAACUCCAGUGGCAGCGGCUCAAUAGAUGGUUGUGAAGGAGGCAAAUAUUAAGAUAAAAAGAAGUAAGAGAUGUAAACAAGGCCUUGACUCUGACAUUUUGAUUUCUGUCGGGGGAGUGGGUGGAUGGAGGGUUUAAUAAAGAAAACUCAAAAGUAAAGGCAUAACUAU
rnacentral:lncRNA from 1 species